rnacentral:rRNA from 17 species
GUGUGUAAGCGCAGCGAUGCGUUGAGCUAACCGGUACUAAUGAACCGUGAGGCUUAACCUUACAACGCCGAAG